rnacentral:rRNA from 1 species
UGUGGUGGGCGCCUUCACGACGGUGUGUAGCAUUUUAAAUUUUUGGGAGGAUUGACAGAUUGAGAGCUCUUUCAUGAUUCGGCGGAUGGUGGUGCGUGUUCGUUCUUAGUUGGUGGAGCGAUUUGUCUGGUUAAUUCCGAUAACAGACGACACUCUAGCUCAUUAAAUAGGUGCGUGGUGCUCUGCACCUUGCACCCUUAGAGGGACAAGCAGCUCAUCGCCGUACGAAAAAGGCCAAGAACAGGUCUAGUGAUGCCCUUACAUGUCCGGGGCCGCACGCGCGCUACAUUGAAGGAAGCGGCGUGUUUUUAUCCCUGUUUGUUAAGACAGUAAGCUCAGAAAAAAGAGACUUGAUCAAAUACAGGGGGCUAAUUGAAGUCCAUCGCGUUACCCCCGAGGAA